UGAUGUGGAGUAAAACUUAUAAAAGCGACCUCAGUUCGGAUUGAAGGCUGAAAUUCGCCUUCAUGAAGUCGGAAUUGCUAGUAAUGGCAGGUCAGCAUACUGCCGUGAAUACGUUCCCGGGCCUUGUACACACCGCCCGUCACACCAUGAGAGUUGGAGAUACCCGAAGCCUAUGAGCUAACUUUUAGAGGCAGUAGUCGAAGGUAGAAUCAAUGAUUGGGGUGAAGUCGUAACAAGGUAAC
rnacentral:rRNA from 1 species